CCUACGGGAGGCAGCAGUGAGGAAUAUUGGUCAAUGGGCGCGAGCCUGAACCAGCCAAGUAGCGUGAAGGAUGACGGCCCUACGGGUUGUAAACUUCUUUUAUAAAGGAAUAAAGUGAGGCACGUGUGCCGUGUUGUAUGUACGUUAUGAAUAAGGAUCGGCUAACUCCGUGCCAGCAGCCGCGGUAAUACGGAGGAUCCGAUCGUUAUCCGGAUUUAUUGGGUUGAAAGGGAGCGUAGAUGGGUUGUUAAGUCAGUUGUGAAAGUUUGCGGCUCCACCGUACAAUUGCAAUUGAUCCUGGCAGCCUUGAGUACAGUUGCGGUAGGCGGAAUUCGUGUUGUAGCGGU
rnacentral:rRNA from 1 species